rnacentral:rRNA from 1 species
GACGAACGCUGGCGGCGUGCUUAACACAUGCAAGUCGAACGGAAAGGCCCUGCUUGCAGGGUACUCGAGUGGCGAACGGGUGAGUAACACGUGGGUGAUCUGCCCUGCACUUCGGGAUAAGCUUGGGAAACUGGGUCUAAUACCUGAUAGGAGCCAUCUUUAGUGUGGUGGUUGGAAAGUUUUUUCGGUGUAGGAUGAGCUCGCGGCCUAUCAGCUUGUUGGUGGGGUAAUGGCCUACCAAGGCGGCGACGGGUAGCCGGCCUGAGAGGGUGUACGGCCACAUUGGGACUGAGAUACGGCCCAGACUCCUACGUGAGGCAGCAGUGGGGAAUAUUGCACAAUGGGCGCAAGCCUGAUGCAGCGACGCCGCGUGGGGGAUGAAGGCCUUCGGGUUGUAAACUCCUUUCGCUAGGGACGAAGCUUUGUUGUGACGGUACCUAGAGAAGAAGCACCGGCUAACUACGUG